rnacentral:rRNA from 1 species
UACGUAGGGGGCAAGCGUUGUCCGGAUUUAUUGGGCGUAAAGAGCGUGUAGGCGGUUUGGUAGGUCCGCUGUGAAAACUCGAGGCUCAACCUCGAGACGCCGGUGGAAACCAUCAGACUAGAGUCCGGAAGAGGAGAGUGGAAUUCCUGGUGUAGCGGUGAAAUGCGCAGAUAUCAGGAAGAACACCCGUGGCUAAGGCGGCUCUCGAGUACGGUACUGACGCUGAGACGCGAAAGCGUGGGGAGCGAACAGG